UAAUGAGAUGCAUGUACUUGAAGUCUGAUCAGAUUGAUUCUGACACACGAUUGAUGAUGUUACGCAGUCUGUGUGAAUCUGUGCGAGGUUUAAUACGAACCCACAAUUGACUAGGUACGUGCGUACGUACAGGCGCUUAGUCAGCGCUACACGAACAAAAACUUGGCCCUCGACGCACAGGUUCACCAUGCCUGUCCUCGUGCUCGGUGGGUCUCGGACUGUGGGAGUCGUACUUCAGUACAUAUUCCACAGAAAGAGACUACGCCGGCUGGGGAGCCUCUGUAUAUCGGAGGUGCCUCGGCUGACUGUGAGUAUGCCCAGUGCUUGUGCACAAAGUGCUGGGAGCCUCGCACGGGCAACCUCUCAAUUAACAGACUAACACGAUAUUAACUCUGUAUUUGUUUACAGAUAAGAAUGUGCUGACGCUUGAGGAGGCAGGAUGAUUAUUGAAGGUCCUCAAGGAGGCGAAGCCUCAAGAAAAGGCGUCGACAGCAGCUUUAGUGAAGCCCAGGAUUAUACCAGAUAAGAAGUUGGAUGGGCCAUUCAACCUGUUGAAAAAUCAACUAGGCUUGAGUAGCAAGGAAGGGGACGGCUCUCCGCCUCUCUCACCAGAGACUGGAGGAGCACACGUCCGAGUACAAGCUUCUUCGACAAUAAGACCAUGGGCAGAUAAAACUGUGAACGACGAAUGUAAUGAAGAAGAGGCUCAGUUGAACCUGUCAGGUUCAAAGACUAAAAUGACGAUAUCUCCGUAUAAAGAUUGGCGCAAAGAGACAGACUAGGGUGCACCUUCUUGGAUAAUCCAAAUGUAAGUAAAGAUAGGUUUAGAUUCAACCCUAAUAACGCUUCUUUCAGCAAAACAGAUAAAACAACGAAGUUGAGUAGUAUGCUUGGUAACACAAGCAUUAACGACUCUAAGAUGAAGCAAGCUAAUAUUACGAGGACGUAUAAACUGAAGUUAAACUCUGAAUACGCCACUUUUGACGAUUUGCUAUUCUCAGAGUUGAAGUCUCGUUGAUUCAUCAAGAACUGAGGACGAAGUAGCCCUACUCGGCGAAGCUAAGAAUAGCCUCAGGGAGGCUAGAUCCAGAAGCAGAGACAGAGAUCACUCUCUGAAACACUGUAAUCGCUGCGGAGAGAAAGGACACAUGAAAAACGACUGCACACACAAGACAGUUAAAUGUUUUAACUGUAACGAGUUUGGACACAUCGCCACAAAUUGUCCGGAGCCAAAUAAGAAACGAGACGCUCCAAGAAGCCAGUCGCCUCGCAGGAAGCAAGCCAAGAGAGAUGGACGGUCUCCUAGGCGUACGGCUUCGAAAUCUCCGCUUCAGGCGAUCUCCAACUCCAGCGAGAGAAAAAGAAUAGCUUAAUCAUUCCACAGCAGAGGCGCAAUGGAAGGCGAAGGAAGAUCGAACGAGAGGGUCAGGAGAGAACGAUCCAAGGACACCGGAAGACACCGGGAGUGAGUGUUAGAAUAUACGCUGUCUCCCGAUGCCAGCGCCUCCCCUCGACCCUUCUCUCAACGACGGCGCCUAGCUCGGCAGCGUCUCGCGUCGCCGCCUCACUCUUGAUCCGACGCUCGCUCAGUCAAGACCACGCUUACGAUUAAGCUUACGCUCUCACGUACUUUUGUUCACUUUCUCGUUUAAGAAGUUAAUAAAGCCAAGUUCAGUUUAUCCCUUA